GGAUUGUGCCUUAGUGGAAGAGUGCUUGCCUAGCAUGCAUGAGGCACUGGGUUCUAUCCUCAGCACCA
rnacentral:tRNA from 1 species